AAACCAUGGUGAGGGCAUUCUACGAGGAGGUCCUUGAAUCUUUCCAUGAAUUUAGAAAAGGACUCAUGUGGUUUCUGCUUGAACUGGAGGAUGUCACUUUUAAGCUU